CCUCUUGCUAAACCAAAAGUAUAAGAGGUCCCGCCUGCCCUGUGACUAUAUGUUUAACGGCCGCGGUAUUUUGACCGUGCGAAGGUAGCGCAAUCACUUGUCUUUUAAAUGGGGACCUGUAUGAAUGGCAUAACGAGGGCUUGACUGUCUCCUCUUUCAAGUCAAUGAAAUUGAUCUCCCCGUGCAGAAGCGGGGAUAAAUACAUAAGACGAGAAGACCCUAUGGAGCUUUAGACACUAAAGCAGAUCAGCAUUAAUACCCUAAAUACAGGGCACGAAUAAACUGAACACCGCCCUAAUGUCUUAGGUUGGGGCGACCGCGGAGAAAUAAAAAACCCCCGCAAGGACCGAAUGUACUACAUUCACAACCAAGAGCGACAGCUCUAACUAACAGAUAUUUCUGACCAAUAAGAUCCGGCAACGCCGAUCAAUGGACCAAGUUACCCUAGGGAUAACAGCGCAAUCUCCUCUAAGAGCCCGUAUCUACGAGGAGGUUUACGACCUCGAUGUUGGAUCAGGACAUCCUAAUGGUGCAGCCGCUAUUAAGGGUUCGUUUGUUCAACGAUUAAAGUCCUACGUGAUCUGAG
rnacentral:rRNA from 1 species